CCUACGGGUGGCAGCAGUGAGGAAUAUUGGUCAAUGGACGAGAGUCUGAACCAGCCAAGUAGCGUGAAGGAUGACUGCCCUAUGGGUUGUAAGCUUCUUUUAUAAAGGAAUAAAACAAGGCACGUGUGCAUUUUUGCGUGUACUUUAUGAAGAAGGCACGACUAACUCCGUGCCAGCAGCCGCGGUAAUACGGAGGAUCCGAGCGUUAUCCGGAUUUAUUGGGUUUAAAGGGAGCGUAGAUGGGUUGUUAAGUCAGUUGUGAAAGUUUGCGGCUCAACCGUAAAAUUGCAAUUGAUACUGGCAGUCUUGAGUACAGUUGAGGUAAGCGGAAUUCGUGGUGUAGCGGUGAAAUGCUUAGAUAUCACGAAGAACCCCGAUUGCGAAGGCAGCUUACUAAACUGUGACUGACAUUGAUGCUCGAAAGUGUGGGUAUCAAACAGGAUUAGAUACCCCUGUAGUC
rnacentral:rRNA from 1 species